rnacentral:rRNA from 1 species
GAUGAACGCUAGCUACAGGCUUAACACAUGCAAGUCGAGGGGCAGCAUGAACUUAGCUUGCUAAGUUUGAUGGCGACCGGCGCACGGGUGAGUAACACGUAUCCAACCUGCCGAUGACUCGGGGAUAGCCUUUCGAAAGAAAGAUUAAUACCCGAUGGCAUAGUUCUUCCGCAUGGUAGAACUAUUAAAGGAUUUCGGUCAUCGAUGGGGAUGCGUUCCAUUAGGUUGUUGGCGGGGUAACGGCCCACCAAGCCUUCGAUGGAUAGGGGUUCUGAGAGGAAGGUCCCCCACAUUGGAACUGAGACACGGUCCAAACUCCUACGGGAGGCAGCAGUGAGGAAUAUUGGUCAAUGGACGAGAGUCUGAACCAGCCAAGUAGCGUGAAGGAUGACUGCCCUAUGGGUUGUAAACUUCUUUUAUACGGGAAUAAAGUGAGGCACGUGUGCCUUUUUGUAUGUACCGUAUGAAUAAGG